rnacentral:rRNA from 1 species
AGCCUAACACAUGCAAGUCGAACGGCAGCACAGGAGAGCUUGCUCUCUGGGUGGCGAGUGGCGGACGGGUGAGGAAUACAUCGGAAUCUACUUUUUCGUGGGGGAUAACGUAGGGAAACUUACGCUAAUACCGCAUACGACCUACGGGUGAAAGCAGGUGAUCUUCGGACCUUGCGCGAUUGAAUGAGCCGAUGUCGGAUUAGCUAGUUGGCGGGGUAAAGGCCCACCAAGGCGACGAUCCGUAGCUGGUCUGAGAGGAUGAUCAGCCACACUGGAACUGAGACACGGUCCAGACUCCUACGGGAGGCAGCAGUGGGGAAUAUUGGACAAUGGGCGCAAGCCUGAUCCAGCCAUACCGCGUGGGUGAAGAAGGCCUUCGGGUUGUAAAGCCCUUUUGUUAGGGAACAGAAAUCCAGCUGGCUAAUACCCGGUUGGGAUGACGGUACCCAAAAGAAUAAGCACCGGCUAACUUCGUGCCAGCAGCCGCGGUAAUACGGACAGGGCGCAAGCGUUACUC